UAAAGAGUGCGUAAUAGCUCACUAGUCGAGUGGCUCUGCGCCGAAAAUGUACCGGGGCUAAACAUAUUACCGAAACUGUGGAUUUAUGCGAUAGCAUAAGUGGUAGGGGAGCGUUCUAAGGGCGACGAAGAUAGAUCGAGAGGACUAUUGGAGCGCUUAGAAGUGAGAAUGCCGGUGUGAGUAACGUAAGGUAGGUGAGAAUCCUACCCACUGAUUGACCAAGGAUUCCAGGGUCAAGUUCGUCUACCCUGGGUAAGUCAGGACCUAAGGCGAGGCUGAGAAGCGUAGUCGAUGGACAACAGGUUUAUAUUCCUGUACUAUUUAUAGGACUGAAGGAGUGACAAAGGAAGCUAGUAAGAGCCAUUUAAUGGAUUAUGGUCUAAGCACAAAGACUGAUACAUAGGAAAAUCCGUGAUAUCGAACGGUUGAAGUGUGAUGGCGAAGCAGUCUACGGACAGCGAAGUCUUAUGAGGCUAAACUUUUUAAAAAAGCUUCUAAAGAAAUGCUAUAAAUACCUGUACUAAGAACCAACGCAGGUGGUCAAGGAGAGAAUCCUAAGGUGAGCGAGAGAACUAUGGUUAAGGAACUCGGCACAAUGAUCCCGUAACUUCGGAAUAAGGGAAGGUCUUGAAAAAGACCCGCAGUGAAUAGGCCCAAGCGACUGUUUACCAAAAACACAGGUUUCUGCAAAAGCGUAAGCUGAAGUAUAGGAGCUGACGCCUGCCCAGUGCUGGAAGGUUAAGAUGAUUUGUAAGAUGGACGAAAGUCGAUAACAUCGAAGCAAUGAAUUGAAGCCCCAGUGAACGGCGGCGAUAACUAUAAUCGUCCAAAGGUAGCGAAAUUCCUUGUCAGGUAAGUUCUGACCCGCACGAAAGGCGUAACGAUUUGGGCACUGUCUCAACCAUAGACUCGGUGAAAUCUUAAUACCUGUGAAAAUGCAGGUUACCAGCGACAGGACGGAAAGACCCCAUGGAGCUUUACUGUAGCUUGAUAUUGAAAUCAGGUAGUUAAUGUAGAGGAUAGGUGGUAGACAAUGAAGUUAAGACGCUAGUCUUAAUGGAGUCGACCUUGGAAUACCACCCUUUGACUAUUUGAUUUCUAACUUGCACCCGUAAUCCGGGUGAAGGACAGUGUCUGGUGGGCAGUUUGACUGGGGCGGUCGCCUCCUAAAGAAUAACGGAGGCGCUCAAAGGUUCCCUCAGAUUGGUCGGAAAUCAAUCAAAGAGUGUAUUGGUAUAAGGGAGCUUGACUGCGAGACCAACAAGUCGAGCAGGUGCGAAAGCAGGACAAAGUGAUCAGGCGGUAGAAAAUGGAAUUGCCGUCGCUUAACGGAUAAAAGUUACCCUGGG
rnacentral:rRNA from 1 species